GGCAGCACAGAGAGCUUGCUCUUUGGGUGGCGAGUGGCGGACGGGUGUUUAAUGUCUGGGAAACUGCCCGAUGGAGGGGGAUAACUACUGGAAACGGUAGCUAAUACCGCAUAACGUCGCAAGACCAAAGUGGGGGACCUUCGGGCCUCACACCAUCGGAUGUGCCCAGAUGGGAUUAGCUAGUAGGUGGGGUAAUGGCUCACCUAGGCGACGAUCCCUAGCUGGUCUGAGAGGAUGACCAGCCACACUGGAACUGAGACACGGUCCAGACUCCUACGGGAGGCAGCAGUGGGGAAUAUUGCACAAUGGGCGCAAGCCUGAUGCAGCCAUGCCGCGUGUAUGAAGAAGGCCUUCGGGUUGUAAAGUACUUUCAGCGGGGAGGAAGGCGGUGAGGUUAAUAACCUUGCCGAUUGACGUUACCCGCAGAAGAAGCACCGGCUAACUCCGUGCCAGCAGCCGCGGUAAUACGGAGGGUGCAAGCGUUAAUCGGAAUUACUGGGCGUAAAGCGCACGCAGGCGGUCUGUUAAGUCAGAUGUGAAAUCCCCGGGCUUAACCUGGGAACUGCAUUUGAAACUGGCAGGCUUUGAGUCUCGUAGAGGGGGGUAGAAUUCCAGGUGUAGCGGUGAAAUGCGUASAGAUCUGGAGGAAUACCCGGUGGCGAAGGCGGCCCCCUGGACGAAGACUGACGCUCAGGUGCGAAAGCGUGGGGAGCAAAACAGGAUUAGAUACCCUGGUAGUCCACGCCGUAAACGAUGUCGACUUGGAGGUUUGUGCCCUUGAGGCGUGGCUUCCGGAGCUAACGCGUUAAGUCGACCGCCUGGGGAGUACGGCCGCAAGGUUAAAACUCAAAUGAAUUGACGGGGGCCCGCACAAGCGGUGGAGCAUGUGGUUUAAUUCGAUGCAACGCGAAGAACCUUACCUGGCCUUGACAUCCAGAGAACUUAGCAGAGAUGCUUUGGUGCCUUCGGGAACUCUGAGACAGGUGCUGCAUGGCUGUCGUCAGCUCGUGUUGUGAAAUGUUGGGUUAAGUCCCGCAACGAGCGCAACCCUUAUCCUUUGUUGCCAGCGGUUCGGCCGGGAACUCAAAGGAGACUGCCGGUGAUAAACCGGGAGGAAGGUGGGGGAUGACGUCAAGUCAUCAUGGCCCUUACGGGCCAGGGCUACACACGUGCUACAAUGGCGCCAUACAAAGAGAAGCGACCUCGCGAGAGCAAGCGGACCUCAUAAAGUGCGUCGUAGUCCGGAUUGGAGUCUGCAACUCGACUCCAUGAAGUCGGAAUCGCUAGUAAUCGUAGAUCAGAAUGCUACGGUGAAUACGUUCCCGGGCCUUGUACACACCGCCCGUCACACCAUGGGAGUGGGUUGCAAAAGAAGUAGGUAGCUUAAC
rnacentral:rRNA from 1 species